rnacentral:rRNA from 1 species
AUUGAACGCUGGCGGCAUGCUUUACACAUGCAAGUCGAACGGUAACAGGCCGCAAGGUGCUGACGAGUGACGAACGGGUGAGUAAUGCAUCGGAACGUGCCCAGUCGUGGGGGAUAACUGCUCGAAAGAGCAGCUAAUACCGCAUACGAUCUAUGGAUGAAAGCGGGGGACCGUAAGGCCUCGCGCGAUUGGAGCGGCCGAUGUCAGAUUAGGUAGUUGGUGGGGUAAAGGCUCACCAAGCCAACGAUCUGUAGCUGGUCUGAGAGGACGACCAGCCACACUGGGACUGAGACACGGCCCAGACUCCUACGGGAGGCAGCAGUGGGGAAUUUUGGACAAUGGGGGCAACCCUGAUCCAGCAAUGCCGCGUGCAGGAAGAAGGCCUCGGGUUGUAAACUGCUUUUGUACGGAACGAAACGGUCUGGGUUAAUACCCUGGGCUAAUGACGGCACCGUAAGAAUAAGCACCGGCUAACUACGUGCCAGCCGCCGCCGUAAUAC